CACUCCAGCCUGGGCGAUAGAGCGAGAUUCUGUCUAAAAAAAAAAAAGAAAAAAAUUCCGUAGACUAGGUGGCUUAUAAACAAUGGGUAUUUAUUCCUCACAGUCCUGGGGCCUGGGAAGUCCAAGGUCAAGGCUGUGGCAGAUUGAGUGUCUGCUGAGGGCCUGCUUCCUGGCUCAUAGAGGCCAUCUUCUCGCUGUGUCCUCACAUGGCAGAAGGGGCAAGAGAACUCUUUUAAAAGGGCACCAAUCCUAUUGAUGAGGGCUUCCACCCUCAUGACCUAAUUGCCUCCCAAAGGCUCCACUUCCAAUGCCAUCACACUGGGGGUUAGGUUUCAGCAUAAUCUGGGGAGGAGCACAGUCUGUAGCAGCCGCCUCCACACUCUUCACCCAUCACUGUAAUAAAAUCACUGAGAAGAGGUCAGGCAGUGCCGUGUUCUCUGGGUCUAGAGCCUCUCCAGGAUCAGGUCCCUCAGCAGGCAGGCAGCUGCUCCCUGUCUGCCUCCUCGGUGCCAAAUCUGGGCUGCCAGUGUGUCUUUCAUUGCCACAGCCCCAGAACUAACAUGAGGCUCAGCAUACAGGAAGGUAGACAGAUACUACUUGAUGGAAAGAAGGAGAGUGCAUUAACUAGGGACUGUCAAAUACUAAACAGUCAAUUGGGGGAGGGGGGUACAGAGUGAGGUCCUGGAAUUCUAGAGUUGGGUCUGUAAUCCCAGCACUUUGGGAGGCUGAGGCGGGUGGAUCACGAGGUCAGGAGAUCGAGACCAUCCUGGCUAACACAGUGAAACCCCGUCUCUACUAAAAAUACAAAAAAUUAGCCAGGCGUGGUGGCAGUAGUCCCAGCUACUCCGGAGGCAGGAGAAUGGUGUGAACCCAGGAGGCGGAGCUUGCAGUGAGCCGAGAUCGCACCACUGCACUCCAGGCUGGGCGACAGAGGGAGACGCCGUCUCAAAAAAAUAAAAUAAAAUAAAAUAAAAUAAAAUAAAAUAAAAUAAAAUAAAAUAAAAUAAAAUAAAAUAAAAUAAAAUAAAAUGAUCUGUUAACACCCUCACUUGUUCACACAGUAGGACAGUAACUUGUCCAAGGUCAAAUGCUACUAGGGGGCAGAAUGGGGCCAAGUGCUUCUGUCACAGGGCAAGCUGCCCCUAAUGUGCAUGGAGAUCUAGUGACAGUAUUGGGUGCCAGAAAGUCCCAGCUCUAAACAGUCCUUCUGCCAAGGGUGAUAAAACCGUCAGGCUGCUGUAAUCAGAUCUGAGCCUGGAAACCAAGGGCUUUUUCCCCAGCAGCACCAGGAGUAACCUGAGAUCCAAGCUCCCUGGGAGAUAUUCCCCACCCCUACGCUGGCUGCCCACUGCCCCAUCUCUCUGUAACUGGCUCUGCAGGGAGGGAUACCCCAGGCCAGAAGGGAAAACCCACGAAAUGUGUGAAGGAUGGGACAUUGCCCAUCCAGUACCCCUCCUGCCCCCUUCUCUUCAAUUCCCAGCCUCAAAUGCAGGCCAGAACCCAGGGCUCCACCCACCUCUGGGAGAUGGGCAGAACCCAGCAUGAUGGGGCAGUGAGGGCUGCUCCCUCCUCCUCUCCCAUCAGGAGUAAUCAUGGACCUCCCUCCUCUAAACUCUAUUUGUGGCUCACGUUCUGCGUUUUCUGCUUUCAUCCUCCCUGACACGUCUAUGCAUGGUUGACUCACACCUGCUUUUUCUUUUCCACCUAAAUUAAGUGGUCCUUAAGGGCAAGGGCCAGAUUGCACUUGUCUUAGACCCCAGGUGGAGAGACCUCAGUAAACAUGACAUUUCUGAGGCUACUUGCAGUUUCCCACUUGCUUUCUAGAGUCUCCCUUCUUCCUGAUUCUCUCCUCACUUCUGUUCUUCUUAGCAAGUUGAUGUUUCUAUGAGGAAUGUGAUUUAAAAUCAAGAAACUACCAAUACAAGGCCCCAAUUGCCUGUGAGCUGGUUUAGUGGUCCCAGAUAUUUAUUUAUUUUUUUGAGACGAAGUUUUGCUCUGUCAUCCAGGCUGGAGUAUAGUGGCAUGAUCCCGGCUCACUGCAACCUCCACCUCCUGGGUUGUGAUUCUCCUGCCUCAGCCUCCCCAGCGGCUGGGACCACAGGUGCACACCACCAAGCCCAGCUAAUUUUUUGUAUUGUUUUGUAGAGACAAGGUUUCGCCAUGUUGCCCAGGCUGGUCUCGAACUCCUGAGCUCAAGCAAUCUGCCCACCUUGGCCUCCGAAAGUGCCAGGACUACAGGUGUGAACCACCGUGCUUGGCUUUGGUCCCAGUUGUUUAAAAUGUGUGCUAGAAACGCUCCUCUGUGCCCCUGAGCUUCCUGUUCCUUAAGAACUUCCAGGCUCCUUUUGUGUGCCCUGUUGAGUGUCAGGACUGAAACCAUUCACACAUGUGAGGAGGACAGCUCCUGUUCCCAGGGAGAAAGGAUGAAUGCACCUGUGAGCCAGAUUCUAGGUGUUGGUACCACAGACAGGCUGACCCUGAUGAUUGACUGGUGGUUCUUUUUACUUCUCACAUCAUCCUUAACACCCACCUGCACACCAAAAGCCUCUGGGCCAGGCCUUUAACUCUGUUUCAAUGUGGGAGAGAUUAGAGAAGAUGCAUGUAUAUACAAGAUACACAGUUCUGAACUUGCAUUGGAAAUAUCAAUAUAAACUCACAAUGUAGUUACAUUUUUCAGCCUUGCACUGUGGCUGAAGCCUAUAAUCCCAGCACUUUGGGAGGCCGAAGUAGGAGGAUCACUUAAGCCCAGGAUUUGGAGACCAGCCUGGGCAAUAUAGUGAAAGACCCCACCUCUAUUUAAAAAAAAAAAAAAGAAAGAAAAAAGAAAACAAAAAACAUUUCCUGGGCACAUGUUCUCAGGGCCUCCUGAGCCUGUGUCACAGGAUAUGAUCCUUACACACAAAAUCACAAAUUUCCUAGCUUUGUCAACGGAAAAAGCCUAAAACCAAUGACCAACUCAGUAACAACAAACACUUCUGAUGGCCAUGGUAUUUAUGGUCUCUAAAUCUCAUUUCCAUAAGAAGCAACCAAAGACCCUUAGAAGAAAUAGCUCAUUCCAGGUCUGUGGCAGUAAAAAUACAAGCUAAUCCUGCACAUCCAGUCAUGCCAGAAAGCAAAGAAGCUUUGAAAGAUCACUUAGUGAAGACUGCAGUGAGCCAUGAACGCACCACUGCACUCCAGUCUGGGCAACAGAGCAAGACUGACUUCAAAACACAACAAAACAAAGACCAUUUAGGAUUGUGUCAAAGGACUCAGAAAUCAACUUGAAGAGGCUCCCACUGGCCAAAGAUGGGGACAAUUUGAACAUGAAUAAGGAUAACAACUGCAAAGGAUUUAAACACAACAAAUAUGUUUAAAUCCAUGAAAACAUCAUGAAACUAAGGAAGAAACCUCUGCCAUCAUCAGGGGAUGCUAGGGAAUCAAUUCAUUAUUUUGAAAACUGGUGCGUGGCUGGGCGCAGUGGCUCAUGCCUGCAAUCCCAGCAUUUUGGGAGGCCAAAGCAUGUGGGUCACCUCAGGUGAGGUGUUCGAGACCAGCUUGGCCGACAUGGUGAAACCUCGUCUCUACUAAAAAUGCAAAAAUUGGCUGGGUGUAGUGGUAGGUGCCUGUAAUCCCAGCUACUUCGGAUGCUGAGGCAGUACAAUUGCUUGAACCUGGGAGGCGGAGGUUGCAGUCAACUGAGAUAGCACCACUGCACUCCAGCCUGGGCGACAGAGCAAGACUCCAUCUCAAAAAAAAAAAAAAAAGAAAGAAAGAAAAAGAAAACUGGUGGGUACAAGGAAGGAGGUAUGCACUUGUUGAAGAAACGAUAGAAUAUCCUAUGAUAGAUAGAUAGAAAGGAUAGACUAUCCUAUGAUAGAUAGAAAUGAUACAAUAUCAUAUGAUAGAUAGAAAUGAUAGAAUAUCCCAUGAUAGAUAGAUGGAAAUGAUAGAAUAUUCUAUGGUAGUUAGAAAUGAUAGAAUAUCCUAUGAUAGAAAUGAUAGGAUAUCCUAUGAUAGAAAUGAUACAAUAUUAUAUGACAGAGAGAAAUGAUAGAAUGUCCUAUGAUAGAUAGAAAUGAUAGAAUAUCCUAUGAUAGAUAGAUAUACAUGAUAUAAUAUCAUUUUACAACCCCUGUGAAAUAAUGGAUCUAAGUAAAGUUAUCAAUGACUGCAAACACCGAAAACAGAAGACAACCACUGGCCUGGGCUACUUUGUGAGACCCCGUCUCUACAAAAAAAUACAAAAAUUAGCCAAGCAGGCCGGGUGCGGUGGCUCAGGCCUGUAAUCCCAGCACUCUGGGAGGCCGAGGUAGGCAGACCACCUGAGGUCAGGAGUUCGAGAUCAGCCUCACCAACAUGGUGAAACCCCAUCUCUAUCAAAAAUACAAAAAUUAGCUGGGCAUGGUGGCGAGCGUUUGAACCUGGGAGGCGGAGGUUGCAGUGAGCCUAGAUCACGCCAUGGCACUCCAGCCUGGGUGACAAGAGCGAAACUUCGUCUAAAAAAAAAAUUAGCCAAGAGUGGUGGUGCACACCUGCAGUCCCACCUGCUCAGAAGGCUGAGAUGGGAGGAUCACCUGGCCCCAGGAGGUCGUGGCUGCAGUGAGCCACCACUCCAGCCUGGGUGACAGAGUGAGACCCUGUCCCAAUAAAAGAAAAAAAAAAGCCCAACAGUAUAUGCUCCCUUAUAUGGAAGUACAAAUCUAUUAAGUAUUCUUGCAAAAACAAACAAACCAAAUCUGUUGUCUCUGACUUUAAUUACCAGUUUACAGAAAAUACAGGGGCAGUAAAAAAAAUUUACCAUGGGAAUACAGAUGGUCUAACAGAAACUCCGUUUAACAAGUAAAGAAAAAAUAAUCGAGGACAUACCUUUGGAUUAAAAGAUUACAAGAGAAAUGGGCACGGUGGCUGAAGCCUGUAAUCCCAGCAAUUUGGGAGGCCAAGGCAGGUGGAUCAUAUGAGGCCAGGAGUUCGAGACCAGCCUGUCCACAACGUGGUGAAACCCCGUCUCUACUAAAAAUACAAAAAAAUUAGCCGGGCGUGCUGGCAGGCACCUGUAAUCCCAGCUAUUUGGAAGGCUGAAGCAGGAGAAUCGCUUGAACCCAGGAGACGGAGGUUGCAGUGACCGAGAUCGAGUCACUGCACUCCAGCCUGGGUGACAGAGUGAGACUCCUUCUCAAAACAAACAAAAAAAGAUUACAAGAGGAUUUAAUAACAAGAUUACAAGAGGAUUUAAGAGACAUAUCAGCCCGUGGCAAUGUAUGGAAUUUAUUCAGAUUCCAAUUUGAAAAAAACUAUACCCCCAAACAUUUAUGAGGCCGGGAAAUGUAAACGGUGACUGGAUAUUUGCUUAUCUUAAAGAAUUACUAUUCUUAGGUAUCAUCAUGGUAGCGUGACUACUUAAAAAAAAAAAGUCCUGGCCGGGCUUGGUGGCUCACGCAUGUAAUCCCCCAGCACUUUGGGAGGCCGAGAUGGGCAGAUCACCCGAGGUUAGGGAUUCCAGACCAGCCUGGCCAACAUGGUGAAACCCC
rnacentral:lncRNA from 1 species